rnacentral:rRNA from 1 species
GAGUUUGAUUAUGGCUCAGGAUGAACGCUGACAGAAUGCUUAACACAUGCAAGUCAACUUGAACGUGGGUUUUUAACUUAGGUUUGGGUGGCGGACGGGUGAGUAACGCGUAAAGAACUUGCCUCACAGAUAGGGACAACAUUUAGAAAUGAAUGCUAAUACCUAAUAUUAUGAAAAUAGGGCAUCCUAUAAUUAUGAAAGCUAAAUGCGCUGUGAGAGAGCUUUGCGUCCCAUUAGCUAGUUGGAGAGGUAACGGCUCACCAAGGCGAUGAUGGGUAGCCGGCCUGAGAGGGUGAACGGCCACAAGGGGACUGAGACACGGCCCUUACUCCUACGGGAGGCAGCAGUGGGGAAUAUUGGACAAUGGACCAAGAGUCUGAUCCAGCAAUUCUGUGUGCACGAUGAAGUUUUUCGGAAUGUAAAGUGCUUUCAGUUGGGAAGAAAAGAAUGACCGUACCA